GACAAACGCUGGCGGCGUGCCUAAUACAUGCAAGUCAAGCGAAGUUUUUCGGGUGCUUGCGCCGGACAAACUUAGCGGCGAACGAGGUGAGUAACACGUACCGAACCUGCCUCAUAGACUGGGACCACUAUUGGAAACGAUAUCUAAUACCGGAUAACCGCAUUAACUGCAUGGGUGAGGUUUAAAACUUGGGUUUGCUAACGCUAUGAGAUGGCUUUGCUGGGCAUUAGCUAAUUGGUGGGGUAAAGGCCUACCAGGGCGACGAUGCAUAACCGACCUGAGACGGUGAUCGGCCGCACUGGGACUGAGACACCGCCCAGACUCCUACGGGAGGCAUCAUGAGGGAAUCUUCCACAAUGGGCGAAAGCCUGACGGAUCAACGCCGCGUGAGUGAAGAAUGAUUUCCGCUCUCACAGCUCUGUUGUUAGGGAAGAAUGAUUGUGUAAUAACUAUACACACUAGAGACGGUACCUAACCAGAAAGCCACCGCUAACUACGUGCCAUCAGCCGCGGUAAUACGUAGGUGGCAAGCGUUGUCCGGAAUUAUUGGGCGUAAAGCGCGCGCAGGUGGUUUAAUAAGUCUGAUGUGAAAGCCCACGGCUCAACCGUGGAGGGUCAUUGGAAACUGUUAAACUUGAGUGCAGGAGAGAAAAGUGGAAUUCCUAGUGUAGCGGUGAAAUGCGUAGAGAUUAGGAGGAACACCAGUGGCGAAGGCGGCUUUUUGGCCUGUAACUGACACUGAGGCGCGAAAGCGUGGGGAGCAAACAGGAUUAGAUACCCUGGUAGUCCACGCCGUAAACGAUGAGUGCUAAGUGUUGGUCUCAUAAGAGAUCAGUGCUGCAGCUAACGCAUUAAGCACUCCGCCUGGGGAGUACGACCGCAAGGUUGAAACUCAAAGGAAUUGACGGGGACCCGCACAAGCGGUGGAGCAUGUGGUUUAACUCGAAGCAACGCGAAGAACCUUACCAAGUCUUGACAUACUGUGAGGACACAAGAGAUUGUGUUGUUCUGACCUUUGGUUAGACACAGAUACAGGUGGUGCAUGGUUGUCGUCAGCUCGUGUCGUGAGAUGUUGGGUUAAGUCCCGCAACGAGCGCAACCCUUAUAUCUAGUUGCCAGCAGUAAGAUGGGGACUCUAGAUAGACUGCCAGUGAUAAACUGGAGGAAGGUGGGGAUGACGUCAAAUCAUCAUGCCCCUUAUGACUUGGGCUACACACGUGCUACAAUGGAUAGGAACAAAGAGAAGCGAGCUCGCGAGAGUAAGCAAACCUCACAAAACUAUUCUCAGUUCGGAUUGUAGUCUGCAACUCGACUACGUGAAGCUGGAAUCGCUAGUAAUCGCGAAUCAGAAUGUCGCGGUGAAUACGUUCCCGGGUCU
rnacentral:rRNA from 1 species